rnacentral:rRNA from 1 species
UACGUAGGGUGCAAGCGUUGUCCGGAAUUAUUGGGCGUAAAGGGCUCGUAGGCGGUCCAUCGCGUCGGGAGUGAAAAGCUGGGGCUCAACCCCAGUCCUGCUUUCGAUACGGGUGGACUAGAGGUAGGCAGGGGAGAACGGAAUUCCUGGUGUAGCGGUGAAAUGCGCAGAUAUCUGGAGGAACACCGGUGGCGAAGGCGGCAUCCUGGACCGGUAUUGACGCUGAGGCGCGAAAGCUAGGGGAGCAAACGGG